GGUAGGGUAAUGGCCUACCAAGGCUAAGACGGGUAGCCGGCCUGAGAGGGUGGUCGGCCACACUGGGACUGAGACACUGCCCAGACACCUACGGGAGGCUGCAGUCGAGAAUCUUUCGCAAUGCCCGAAAGGGUGACGAAGCGACGCCGCGUGUGGGAAGAAGGCCUUCGGGUUGUAAACCACUGUCGGGAGUUAAGAAAUGCAAGGGUGUUAAUAGCAUCCUUGCUUGACUAAGGCUCCGGAGGAAGCCACGGCUAACUCUGUGCCAGCAGCCGCGGUAAUACAGAGGCGGCAAGCGUUGUUCGGAAUUAUUGGGCGUAAAGAGCACGUAGGCGGCUUUGUAAGUCAGUUGUGAAAGCCUUCUGCUCAACGGAAGAACAGCAUCUGAUACUGCAAGGCUAGAGUGCGGAAGGG
rnacentral:rRNA from 1 species